AUGCCUCCUCCGCCCCCCAACAACGGUGACAGGGACGCCGGCGCCCUAACCCGCGUCUCCUUCCACCUCCCCCAGCUCGCCUUCUCGCCGGCCGCUUUGGAGGAGCCUCCUUUCGCGCGCACAGCGUGGUCGGGCUGCGGCGACCACCAGAGGUCCACCGCGGCAGGAGCUCCCUCCUUCUCCACUAUGAGGCGCCAGCAGAGGGGGACGACUCCUCCUUCCAUCCCUAGCUGCGGCAUCCAACCUCUAACGCCGAUUGAAACCGUAGCCCGAAUCCUGCAGAGGUGCAGCAGCACGGGAUCCCCUCCAAAAACAGUUAAAGGAAGGGGGCGGGCCAUGGAGAAGCUGCAAGGUGUGGGCCUGAAGCCAUGGAUGGAUGUGUUUGGUAUGAGGAUAGAGGACGGCGAGGUGGCACCGAACCGAGCGGCGGGCAAGGACGAAGUGAAGCUGCGCGCACCGUCGUCAUAUCCCUCCUCCGCCUGCUGUUACUGGAAGCAAGCGCAGUACCAUCUCAUUUCAUCCACGACGUAUGACUCAUCCUCGCAUUCUUACUUCGCCUUUGUUUCCUUCAGCUUCUUGAUCCUGAAAUUUUAUGAUAAAUUGGUGAUCGACGAGGACUACUGCGGCCCGAUGGGAGUCCUGCUCUUCAACUACUCGGAGGCAGACUUCACCGUGAAGCCCCGCGACCGUGUCAUAGAGAUUAUCGUCCAGGUGAUUGCGACGCAGGAGGUCCCCGGGGUGGAGGACCUCGACGCCACCGUCCGGAGUUCCUCAAGGUGGAGGACCUCGACGCUUUGUACAUACAUCUAG
rnacentral:rRNA from 1 species